GCUCCAGUCCAGCAGGUGGAGACAGGGAGCCUAGGGUCUGUGCUUCCACUGAGGAGGUGGCUCAAAGGAAGAGUGUGCCACUCCUAGUUAAGGAGCUUAAUGCAACACACCUGGGAAGGCACACUCUCAGCAGAGAAGCAAACAAUUCACUGGGAGAGGAGAAAGACUCAAGGAUUCAACCAAAGACGCUGCUGAAAGUGAUGGGAACGUCGCUGAUGUUGAUGUUUCCACCAGGAGCAUUCAGAGUGACCUCCUGAGAGGCAGAGAGCUCCAUCUGGCUGGCAGCAACUGCAGGAGUUCCAGGAGAAACACAUCCAUCAAGAACAACCUGAAC